CUUUAAUAUGUUAAGCUAGGUGGAAACACCAUUACUAGAAAAUAAUUUAGACCUUGGGCACCUUGGACUCAACAUGUGUUGUACUGAUGUUUUCCAGUGCCUUGGUGAUUCAUACAACUUUCUGGGAUCUUUUGAUUAACAGAGAAAAAGUCAUAAGAUCAGCAAGAAGAGAAACUGUAGAUUUGCCUCAACUCAACAUGUUAAGUAAUCGCCUGACAUCUACAUAAGACCACCUCUUGGCACCUGGCUACACAAGCUGAAAUGGUUGUCUUUGGAAAAAGAAUAGACAUUCAUGGCAGACCAAAG
rnacentral:lncRNA from 1 species